UCGAGAAUUUUUCACAAUGGGGGAAACCCUGAUGGAGCGACGCCGCGUGGAGGACGAAGGCCUUCGGGUCGUAAACUCCUGUCAUGCGGGAACAAGAAAGUGAUAGUACCGCAAGAGGAAGAGACGGCUAACUCUGUGCCAGCAGCCGCGGUAAUACAGAGGUCUCAAGCGUUGUUCGGAUUCAUUGGGCGUAAAGGGUGCGCAGGCGGCGUGGAAAGUUGAGUGUGAAAUCCUGGGGCUCAACCUCAGAACUGCACUCAAUACUCCCAUGCUAGAGGAAUGUAGAGGAGAGUGGAAUUCACGGUGUAGCAGUGAAAUGCGUAGAUAUCGUGAGGAAGACCAGUUGCGAAGGCGACUCUCUGGGCAUUUCCUGACGCUCAUGCACGAAGGCCAGGGGAGCAAACGGG
rnacentral:rRNA from 1 species